UGGAUGAUGUGGAUUAAUUCGAUGCAACGCGAAAACCUUACCUACCCUUGACAUGUCCGGAAUCCCGAAGAGAUUUGGGAGUGCUCGCAAGAGAGCCGGAACACAGGUGCUGCAUGGCUGUCGUCAGCUCGUGUCGUGAGAUGUUGGGUUAAGUCCCGCAACGAGCGCAACCCUUGUCAUUAGUUGCCAUCAUUUGGUUGGGCACUCUAAUGAGACUGCCGGUGACAAACCGGAGGAAGGUGGGGAUGACGUCAAGUCCUCAUGGCCCUUAUAGGUGGGGCUACACACGUCAUACAAUGGAUGGUACAAAGGGUCGCCAACCCGCGAGGGGGAGCCAAUCCCAUAAAGCCAUUCGUAGUCCGGAUCGCAGUCUGCAACUCGACUGCGUGAAGUCGGAAUCGCUAGUAAUCGUGGAUCAGAAUGUCACGGUGAAUACGUUCCCGGGUCUU
rnacentral:rRNA from 1 species